AGGAAAGGGAGGAAUUGUGAUUUGUCCAACACAAACCCACUCGAAUGUAGAGCAGUGCACGAGAGCUGAGGGCUUAGACAAGUGCUAGCAUGCAGGAGAAAAUCUGAUAUGCUUGCCUGUGCAUGUAAGGAGAAACUGAUUUAAUUAAGCAGGUAGGGAAUUUCUCCUAGACCCUUUACAACUGAAGGGAGGUUGCAGUAGCGGUGAGAUGGAUGGAGCUUGUGUUUGGACCAGGCAUCUGCAACACAUACCAGGAAGAACUUCAGUUUUGUGCUCCAUGUACCUGGAGAACAGUCUGGCUACAGAUGCAAGCUGAUGAAAUGGUAAUGCUUCUCUAAUGUAUGAUUUAUUUCUCAUGGCUACCUAUGAAUGUAGAAGACUGAAAAGAGCCACAGUUUGAGAGGCAGCUGUCAGAUGAAGAAGUCAUGGUACACUAUCUUUUUCUACAGGUUCCUUACUUUAACCGACUCCGAUUUGCUAUAUGAGUAAGGUGAAAUUUGACUCAGGUGGAAGGCAACUUCAGUGACCACAGAGAAGGGCAAUGAGAUACUGGACUGUGUUGAUCGAGCAGAAACGAAAAGGGUUCACUGGGGAGGAACUGAGAUAAAAAGUAUUAGAAGAAAACAUGUGAGUCACAGAAAAUGACAUUUGGACCCAUAAAUGAGGAGUGUGGGCAAAUUAACUGAAGACAUGUGGCGCAAGUUCUGAAAUGAGAGCAACAAAAAAAGAAAGAUGAGAUGAGAGGGAUGCAGUGAAAAGAAGGAACUGAACAACGAUUGUGCUAGCUUUGGAAUGGGCUGCUAGCUAGUGGGAAAAAUAGUGGAUGCAGUUGGAUAAAUUACUGCAUUUCGGGUGGAUUUUGCAGCUGGGAUGGAGACAUAAAGCACUUGUCACCAGGACUCUUUCCCUUGAUUUAUAACCUGGUCACCCAUCUAUCUCUGAAUAUAGCUUUCUCUGUAGUGUACACUUCUGAAAUUGUGCCCCUCAAAACUGGGAAAGUCAUUGGAACAAUAAAGAAAAAUAUAGAGUUCUUUCA